rnacentral:lncRNA from 1 species
CAACAUCACAAAGUUAGAACAUUGUAAUGACAUACCAUCCCAAAUAUUACAAACAGAAAAAGUUACGAAAAUAUCAUCAACAGAACCAUGAUUUUUAAUGGUCAGCAAGAAAUCUUCUGACCCAUUCCAACCGCACAUCAGAAAGUAAACUAAAGAAAACGAGCAUUUGAGUUGGAUGAUAUGGAAUUUUGCUUAAUGCUCGUAGCGCUCAUCCACAGUUAAACCUUCUAUUUCACAUAAGGUUGGAUAUAAAUUUGUAGUUUUUUCUUGGAUGAUCUGGAAUUCUUCUAACUUUUGUUGAACUACCACAUCGGAGGCAAUACUCCUACUGAUUUGUUCGCCAAUGGCCCGCAUGUUUUCCGCCAAUAAAGUGGUAGC